AGUGAACGCUGGCGGUAGGCCUAACACAUGCAAGUCGAACGGCAGCACAGUAAGAGCUUGCUCUUACGGGUGGCGAGUGGCGGACGGGUGAGGAAUACAUCGGAAUCUACUUUUUCGUGGGGGAUAGCGUAGGGAAACUUACGCUAAUACCGCAUACGACCUACGGGUGAAAGCAGGGGAUCUUCGGACCUUGCGCGAUUGAAUGAGCCGAUGUCGGAUUAGCUAGUUGGCGGGGUAAAGGCCCACCAAGGCGACGAUCCGUAGCUGGUCUGAGAGGAUGAUCAGCCACACUGGAACUGAGACACGGUCCGGACUCCUACGGGAGGCAGCAGUGGGGAAUAUUGGACAAUGGGCGCAAGCCUGAUCCAGCCAUACCGCGUGGGUGAAGAAGGCCUUCGGGUUGUAAAGCCCUUUUGUUGGGAAAGAAAAGCAGCAGGUUAAUACCCCGCUGUUCUGACGGUACCCAAAGAAUAAGCACCGGCUAACUUCGUG
rnacentral:rRNA from 1 species